UACGUAGGGUGCGAGCGUUAAUCGGAAUUACUGGGCGUAAAGCGUGCGCAGGCGGUUAUUUAAGUCAGGGGUGAAAGCCCUGGGCUUAACCUAGGAAUUGCGCUUGAGACUGGAUAGCUUGGAGUGCGGCAGAGGGAGGUGGAAUUCCACGUGUAGCAGUGAAAUGCGUAGAGAUGUGGAGGAACACCGAUGGCGAAGGCAGCCUCCUGGACCAGCACUGACGCUCAUGCACGAAAGCGUGGGGAGCAAACAGG
rnacentral:rRNA from 1 species